AUUGAACGCUGGCGGCAUGCUUUACACAUGCAAGUCGAACGAGUGGCGAACGGGUGAGUAACAUAUCGGAACGUACCGAGUAAUGGGGGAUAACUAAUCGAAAGAGUAGCUAAUACCGCAUAUUAUCCGAUCUGCCCAUAUGUGAUUAGCUGGUUGGUGGGGUAAAGGCCUACCAAGGCGACGAUCAGUAGCGGGUCUGAGAGGAUGAUCCGCCACACUGGGACUGAGACACGGCCCAGACUCCUACGGGAGGCAGCAGUGGGGAAUUUUGGACAAUGGGCGCAAGCCUGAUGCAGCCAUGCCGCGUGUCUGAAGAAGGCCUUCGGGUUGUAAAGGACUUUUGUCAGGGAAGCGGUACCUGCAGAAUAAGCACCGGCUAACUACGUGCCAGCAGCCGCGGUAAUAC
rnacentral:rRNA from 1 species